ensembl:lncRNA
GAGGGGAGAGAUGCACUCUUGCCUUGAAAUCUGUGCUGACUCUUGGCUAAAAUUCCUUGAGAUGCUGACAUCUAAUUUGUGCACUUCUCUGUAUCUAUGUCAUACUAUAGUAAGAUAUGCACCUUCUUAUCACUUGGUGGGAUGAAAUUCCUUACUCAGAUGUUUAAAACCACCUCACAGAGGUGAUUGGUACCCCUCCUGGUGAGAGUGGGAAUCCAGGCAUCUGUACUGGUUAAUUUUAUGUGUCAACGUGUCUGGACCAUGAAACCCAGAUAUUUAGCUAAACAUCCUGAAUGUUUCUGUGAAAGAGUUUCGUUGUUUGUUGUUGUUUUUUGCUGAAGUUAACUUUUAAAUGGGUGGACUUUAAAUAGAUCGCCCCCGCAUGGUGUGGGAAAGCCUCCACCAAUCUGGCGAGGCCUUACUAGAACCAACCCAAUAAAAGCCAGUGUUCCGGCGGCAGCGCUCCUUUGGGUUGCACCUCUUCCUGGAGUCUGCGGUCUGUAGUCCUACUCCGUCAGAUUGGGAUUCACCAAGCCUCCACAAUCAUGAGUUCCUAUCUGGAAAAAAAUUGGAAAUUCUGUAUGUUCAUUUCAAUGCCCUACAUUCCAGGGCCUUAUCUUCCUUGCAUCUAUUGACUUUAUACUACAUGUUAGAAAUGGUCUCUUGCCAAGUGGUUAGGAAAGUGAGGAAGAAAGAAGUGGAAUAAGUCAUCCAGGAUCAUAUUUCUGGUGGCCCAGCUCUCUGAAGUUUGCAUGAUUUAUAUUCUCCUCAACAUUUAUCUCUAUGGGCGCUGCUAUACAUAAACCCCCUCAUUCCUUAACCAUGGUGCCAAACUGCAGAUUUAUGUUGGAUUUAAGUGCAAUACUAAAAGCACCUUUAUGUAUAUCUUCAUAUGACCAUAACUUUAGAACCAAACAGCAAUAUAUGUGUUGUCACAAAUACAAAGAUUUUUUAAUAAGUAAAAACAUAUUUAAUAUAAGGAUUAGUUUGAAUAGCCAAAAGAGAAAGGAUUUGUGUACUAAACUGAAUGUAAAUCCCAGGGUCCAAUCUGGGUAAUAUUUAGU